UUAAACCGCACCGUCAGAAAAUUUCUAAUUGUUCAUACGCAAAGGAUUGUGGGUUAUUUCUUCACUCCGAGGAUCCAUCGAUGCAUCCUCCAAAAUUCUCCGAAAUUCUCAGAACGAAGGACUCAGUACUUGCUAGAAUUUGAAAGCAUCCUUGACUUUGGAACAGUGCUUGACGAGAUUUGAUGACGUAACGUCCUUGAAAAAGUGGCUUGGAAGGAGCAAUCCUUGACUUUGAGAAGCACCCUCUAUGUACCCUAGCAGCACUAGCAACCAUCUUCAUUUCCCUAGCAACAACCUAGUAACCCCCAUUUUUGAAUCACAGGCCACCAGUUCACACCUGAUCACAUGCCCUGUAAUUGCAAUCAGCAGAAACCAAUUAGCUAAUUAGACUCAGACUGAGAAGUUGUACCUUUAAAAGCCCAGCUUGAUCUUUCAGGGGAUGAACUGAGGAAGAGCUAAAGCUGCUUUUGGAGCUUUGACUGAAGCCAGCAUAAUGUUCAGGUUUAUUUGUGUCUGCCUCUUCUUCUUAAGUGAAGUAAGCAGUUACCAACAAGACUGGGGUGGUGUCAAAGGAGGACGGACGCCAAGUUCCAUGUCAAGCGACGCUUGGAAGCCCUCAUAUCAGAUGAGCCAGGAAGGUCCAUCCCAAACCCCGGAGAAGCCAGUGUGGCGCUCCUUUCAGCAUGCUCAGGAGGAGCAGUCCGUCCGCCAGCCAGCCAAUACUCCCCCAGCCCCAGUGAAGCAGGAGUCGGUCCGGGCGCCUGAACCUACACCUAGCCGUACUGGUGCUCCUGUGGGUUCCUCAUCAGCAGGAGAACGCUACCUUGUUAUAUCUCAGCCAUCAGGUUUUCAAAGCCGCUAUGUGGUCAAGUCAUUUAACCGUUAUGUACGAGGAGAAAAGAUCUUUUCCCAAACCACCUACACCCCACUGGACUAUCCUUCAAGUGAGCCUGCUGCUGAACCUGCUCCUGAACCUGUUCCCGAGCCUGCUCCCGUCCCCAGUUUUCCUGGACGUUACAUGUAUGCCCAGACUGUAGAGGCCUAUCCUGCCAAACGCAGGUUUUGAUUGCGCGUAUGCUUGGCUGUUCGUGACUUAACACAUUUCUCCUUACAGAAAAGCAUGAAUGUGCUGUGUAAGUAUGCCCCCCCAUGUAGACUCUUGUUAAAACAAUAAAAAACUUCUCU